AAAAUCAGUGAGCAGAAACUCUCGUCCCUCUCUCCCACCAUCGUCGCAAAUCUCAUCCUCAUUUGAAGGCACGCAGGAAGGCAGCCAGACCAGGAAGUAGAAAGAUCAGAUGGCACUAAAAAUGCUAUCCCAGAGGUUUUUUUCCAAGGGCACCGGAGGAGUUGUUACCAAUACUGGAGGACGAACUGAGACCAGCAAAAAUGCAACAAUGUUAUUUCAUUAUUGGAUUUUGAUUUGGAUUUUGAUUUGUUCAUCUUUUAACAACUAGUCAAAACAGACCUUCUUACUUGUAGUGUUCAAAAAUCUAUCAGAUUACGGAUGAAAAAUUGCGAAGUCUUUGUGAACGCGUUGAGCAGGCUACUGCGGAAGCAAAGCAAUUCUGCGAAGAAUGCGAUGCUAUCUUUGUAAGCCCCUUCCUUCCAUCCCUAUCUUUAUUUCCUUUUGCUCUUUCUACUCCGUGUAUGCCUAUUAAAGGAUUGAUCAGCUAAUUUACCCAUGUGCAAUGCUACAAGAAUUAUUGAUGUCACUUUAAAUUGCACUACUCUGCACUGAUUAUUAUUAUUAUUAUUAUGUUUCUUUUGCAUGCCCUAAAAACGGCAUUCCCCUGGGAUCGAGUCAUAUGGGCAUCGGUCCUUUUCGGCGUUGGUGUCAACGCAGUUCAGCAGUUUCAAGAAAUCGUGAAAAGGAGAAAUGCCAUCGAAGAUAACAAGAACCAGUUGUCAGCUCUUCGUAAUGCCAUCAAAGAUAAACAAUCCCCUCGUCUCAAGUGUUACGAGCGCCAGCUUUAUCAGCAUAAGAUAUGAGUGCUAAGUUAUCUCUUCGUACUUUUGUACCUGGAGAAUAUUUAAUUUCUCAGGCAUGAGCUUACUUUAAGUUAUGUCAGUUUACUAUUAUUAGCUAGGUGAAGUAUUCACCGGAACCUCUGACUGUAUAAGUUUCCUGAUAUGAGCGCCAGCUUUGUCAGUUUACUAUCAGUUUACCAUACUUUCACUUAUUAAUAUUUCUAGGCCCAGACCUUUAGAUUCCAGGGCUUGGUAAUAAAGUUUAGGGUUUGGGGGAAAUUCAUAAUACCAAAAAUGUUUGUUACUAUAUAUACCUAAUGAAAUAGGCUAUAGGUAUCAUUUCCAGAUUCAUUUUCGCUUUCACUUUCUCUCACUUCUCUCUCUUCUCUGCUCCAAAGAAAAUUAGGGUUCUUUCAUAUACAAACCGAAGAAAACAAUUGCAGAGAGCAAGAAAACGAUUCUCGCUCCAUCGAUCUUCACUGAUGACGUUUACGUAUUACAGAAGAACGAAAGCAAUCAUUCAUGUUUGGUUUUAGAUUGAAUCUCAGAUCAGAGCUUCAACGAUUCUUUUAGGGUUUUCUUUCUUCCAUAUCACUUACUAUCGAAUCUCUUUAUUUUUCAGUUGAUUCGAAGAUAUCUCACGUAUUGAUUGAAUUAUUCUAGUUUUCAUUCGAUUUGAUUCAAACAGGUUUAACAUCUGAUCCUCAAUCUACAAGUUCGAAUCAAUCAAUUGACUCUAAUUUGUUGUUUUGAAGUUAUUCCAGGUUUUGGAGGAGUAUGAAGAGGCUGUGGUGGUUGAGGUGGUGGUAUUGGAGCAGGUUUGAAGGAGGAUUUUGAAGUCAGUGGUGGUGUUUUAAUUGAUAAAUUGAAGGAGAUGGUGAGAUGAUAGAGGAUGAACUAUCUUAAGUUUCUACUGUUGGUGCUAGUGGUCACAGUUUUGAAAAGAUGAUAAUUACAUUGCAUGCUGGGGUAGAGUAUGUCGGAGUUCCUGUAAAGAACUGGGUGCUUAUUACUGGAGGCCAAUCAGGGUAUGACAACUCGCUUGGGUGAGAGGGGAAUUGCACUAGAUGUGACUGAUGCUGCAUUGGACAUUGUACUAAAUGAAAGCUACGGUCCGAAGUUGCAAAAUCUUCUUUGUCGAUUUUACAAGUAUAUGGCGCUAGGCUAAUUAGGAGGUGACUAGAGAAGAAGGUGGUGACAGAGUUGUCAAAGAUGCUUCUAAGAGAGGAUAUCGAUGAGAACUCUACCGUGUAUAUUGAUGCAAGUCUAGGUGAAGCUGAAAUUACUUAUCGAGUGGAAAAAAAUGGUGGAUUGGUGAAUGCCAACAUUAAAAUUACGCUUGAUACUACUGCAAGCUUUACUGCAGGAAUCAGUGGUUUGAACAUUAUACACUUGGUAAUCAUGCUUAUGUUCUUGCUUUUAUUGGUUCGUGUGAAGAAUUCCAAUAUGGAUGUGUAACUCCUAGUUACACAGUUGCAUGGGUCUCGCUGGAACUGGAGUUGACGCUGAACAUACAAGUCAGACGCAUGUGUAACUCUUAAUUACACUAGAUAAAUGCAUAUCUAAUUCUCAGUUACACUAGACAGAUGUGUGUGUAACUUCUAGUUACACGUGCUAAAAAUUA